UUUAGUUUUUUAUCUGAUUUGUCAACUACUUUGGGUUAUUAACUUGUAUUAAUUGUCUUUAACCUAUUACAACCCCCUUCCAAACUUCCUACUAAUGCUCUACCAUUCCAUUUCAUUAGAAUUCCUACACGUCAAAGAUGGGGUCCAACAUGAUAGAGGGGAGACGUAUGUCUGUCUUAGAUCAACUCCUUUUCACUAAGUGCACAACGGAGUUGAAACCCUCUUGUUAACUCCUUUUAGAUCACUUACCAUGGAUAUAGGAAAUGAUCGUAACUGAUUCAUCUGUGACUUUGCCUCCUACGAUCAUAGGACAUCCAUCUAAGUUACAACCCCCUUCAUAACUUCCCACGGAUCCUCAGCCUCACCCAAUUGCAGAAGAAAGAGAUGAGCCACUUAAAGAGCCACGUAUUGCUUCGAAGAGGCGUGAUUUUGAUGAUCCGCCAUAGUCAUAGAUAUCGAUAGAGACAUAUAGUUCUAGUUGUGGUCAUUGAAGGACCACUGUUUGGAUAUAUUGGACAUUUAUAUAUAUGUAUAUAUUGACUUUGAUAGACAUGGCACAUGCCACAUUUUUGUAGCUAUUAUUGAUUUGGCAUCUAUGCCAUUUUUUG